rnacentral:lncRNA from 1 species
AUAAACGAGAGAAAUUCUGAAGUGUGUAGGAGGAAAGUCUCCAUGCAAGGAUCAUCAGUCAGCCGCCACUUUCCUGGUAAAGAAGAAGACAUAGUUCUUUGGCUCUGGUUUCCUCUACUUGCAUGAAGCCUUCUUCUUUUGGAAUAACUCUUGUCCAAGAGCCAGCUCCACUGACUGAAGGUGAUCAUCGGAGUUUCUCCAGAUGUAAUGUACCUGGGCACUGGUGACCUUCACUACCUGAGAUCAUAUCUCAUUAAACUGGUAACAUACCAGUUGGUUCUGAGAAGGUGAGGGGCUCUAGAUGGAGCCUGGAGCUGAGUGAGAGCCUACAGUUCUCAGGAUGAGGUCUUCAGAGAUGCAGCAUAUGAAAUACCUGGGAAGGUGUGUGAGUAA